rnacentral:tRNA from 1 species
AGCUUUAUAUUCAUUUAGUGAUAGUAGAAUGCAAUUCUGAAGGAGUAAGUUUAAAAUUUACUAAGGCUU